rnacentral:rRNA from 1 species
GACGAACGCUGGCGGCGUGCCUAAUACAUGCAAGUAGGACGCAGUUGCGAACGGGUGAGUAACGCGUAGGUCAAUGCCUAUUAGAAGGUGAUAACUAUUGGAACCGAUAGCUAAUACCGCAUACUAGUAGAUGGACCUGCGUUGUAUUAGCUCGUAGUUAGGGUAAUGGCCUACCUAGGCGACGAUACAUAGCCGACUUGAGAGGGUUAUCGGCAACUCUGGGAAUGAGACACGGCCCAGACUCCUACGGGAGGGAGCAGUAGGGAAUCCUCGGAAAUGGGGGGAACCCUGAGCGCGCAACGCCGCGGGAGUGAAGAAGGUUUUCGGAUCGUAAAGCUCUGUUGUUAAGGAAGCGUUACUUAACGAGAAAGGGACGGCUAACUACGUGCCAGCAGCCGCGGUAAUAC